rnacentral:lncRNA from 1 species
UCAUCCAUCCAUCCCCCCACCCAUCCAUCCAUCACUACAUGUUCUCUGUUACAAGAUUUGACCUUAUGCAGUUGUGGGAUCUGGUUAAAUGGUUUCUGGAAAGCUGUUAUCUUCUCUGAUGCUGGAGUUUAAAGUCCCCAGGGCAGGCAGUCAGGAAGGGGAGAUGGAUAUAAACUGGGGAAGAAUGAGGACAAGAUAGAACCCAGGAAUAUGAGCGGAAACCCACAAGAAUGGGCAGGAAACUGUGUCAGUCACUCACCACCUCCCACCUUGAUGAAGGGUGUCCUGCAGGAAAAGCUGGUACCCUUUGUCAUGGAGCUAGACACAACCCAACAAGACAUCAAUAAAUCUGAAGUGGGAGCCCCAGCCCCACCCCCUCCAGCCUAGGCUUCUAAAUAUCAGCCAAAUAUUCCAGAGUCAUCAUGGCUAGUUAU